rnacentral:lncRNA from 1 species
CAAAGAGAAGAAGAAGAGGGUCUUCUUCUAGAGUUGCUGGGUUCAUCUCUUCCCUUCCUCCAUCUGUAAAUUUUUUAAAAGUGUCUCAUCUAAAACUUCUUCUCCUACUUUUCAUCUUUGGAAGAGUCCAAAUCAAGAAGAAGGAGGUAUCUGAUCGACCAUCGAAGAAGGAUCAGCACAGUACUAGCAUACUGUGCUGAUUUUCUGGACC